UGUUUAGUAACCCACCAUAUAUGUUUACAUUCAUGUUAUUUGCUUUAUCUUAUUUCAGCUCUUUUUAUCCGCUUAUGUAUGGGUUAUUUCUGUAUCAUUUGAGAGUAAGUUGUAGAUACCAUGGCCCUUUGCCUUUAAAUAUAUGCAAAUUUCCUGGAUAACUGUGAUACUAUAAUCAUACUGGAAAAAUGUAAUAAUUUAUAUAGUGUCUUCAAAUAUGUGCCCAAAGAUUUUUUAUAACGACUUAUUUUCUAAUCAGUAUCCACUCUUGGUUAAUUCAUUGCAUUUGGGAUUUUUUUUUAAUUUAUUCCUUUUCUCUAGGAUAAUAUCCCCACUUUUUCAUGCUUUUGAAUUUUUCCUUUUUUUUUUCUUUUUUUUUGAGACAGAGUCUCACUCUGUCACCAGGCUGGAGUGCAGUGGUGCGAUCUUGGCUUACUGCAACCUCUGCCUCCCGGGUUCAAGCAAUUCUGCCUCAGCCUCCCAAGUAGCUGGGACUACAGGCGCAUGCCACCACACCCAGCUAAUUUUUGCAUUUUUAGUAGAGACGGGAUUUCAUCAUGUUGGCCAGGAUGGUCUGGAUCUCUUGACCUUGUGAUCCACCCGCCUUGGCCUACCAAAGUGCUGGGAUUACAGGCGUGAGCCACCACACCCAGCCUGAAUUUUUCUUUUUUAAGUACCCAAAGAAUGUCCCACAUUCUUGAUUUCUGCUUCACAGUAUGAUUUAACUUGUUGCUCUGUCCCUUGUUUUCCCAUAAAUUGGCAGUUAUGUCUAGAAAAUUCAUUAGGUUGAGAUUUUUGUCAAGAACAUCUCAUGAAUGAUGCUGCAGACUUCUGAAAGCAUAUCAGGUUUUUACAUGAUUAUUUAUGCUACACUGUAAAGCUUGCUUAAAGAGGCAACUGUCAGCUCUCCAUUGAACAAUUCCAUUUUGCAUUAGUAAUUUGAUGGGUGCUACAUUGAUCCGUUAAUUUGAAAACAUAAUCCCUUUAAUUCAGGAAACAAGGAUUGAAACAAAAAGAUGUCAUUGUAUUCAUCUCUCUGUGUAGCACAUAUGAACUGCCUGUUAAAGGUUAGACUAUAAAUCUGUGGAUAGAAACAAUGUUAAUAUAUGAGGCUAGAAGAAAGGAAAACAAAUAUACCAAUAUUAAGAAAAAAUUAAUAAAACUAGAUAAAGAGAUUAAUGAUUAGGAAAUAAAACUAGUUUUUAUUCAAAUCUUACCCCCUCCCAUUUUGUGGAACAUGAGCUAAAUCUCUAGAUAUAAUCAAGAAAAAUUUUAAAAGAGAUAUGAAGAAAAUGUUUUAAAUUAAAAGUUAAUUUUUGCCGGGCACAGUGGCUCACGCCUGUAAUCCCAGCACUUUGGGACGCCGAGGCAGGUGGAUCAUUUGAGGUCAGGAGUUCGAGACCAGCCUGGCCAGCAUGAUGAAACCUCAUCUCUACUACAAAUACAAAAAUUAGCUGGGCAUGGUGGCAUGCGCCUGUAAUCCUAGCUACUUGGGAGGCUGAGACAGGAGAAUCGCAUGAACCUGGGAGGCAGAGAUUGCAGUGAGCCGAGAUCAUGCCAUUGCACUCCAGCCUGGGCAAUAGAGCGAGAACCAGUCUCAAAAGAAAGAGUUAAUUUUUGAUGUUUAUACCAAAAUAUUUAGCAAUCUCUAAUGUAUUUUGAGAAGGAAUUAUAUUUGUGAAAGAAUAUAGUUUUUCAAAAUGACAUAGAUAUUGUAGGAAAUCGGAAUUUUUAAAACAUGAUUGAAAACAAGAUGAGUUUCACUCAUUAGGGUAAAUGGAAAAUUUCUGAGUAUGAUAUCAGCAAACUCUAAGAUUCUUUUAAAAUAAUUGUGCAAUAGUCAUUUUUCUGGCAGAGUCAAUUCAUUCUUCUGGUUCAAUAUAUUCUAGACAAAUGAAAGAAAAGGAAUGUUGAUCUGUGUUUAUCCUUGUAAUUUUUCUAAGCUUUAUAUACAGUUUUAUAAAUGGGAUGAAUUAUGUGCACGAUACCAUCAAUUCUAAAAACUACCUUUUUAAAAACCUUUUGGAAAUCAGGAUUGCAGUUGAUAACUACCUAAACUCACUUCCAGCCCUAUAAAAAUUACUUUUCCAAACUAAGGAGCAUCACGCAUUAUGCAUUGUCAGCCAAAGUUCUGUAGUGUCAGCGUGAUCAUUCGUUGUGUCUGUAGUGUCAGCGUGAUCAUUCGUUGUGUCUGUAGUGUCAGCGUGAACAUUGUGUCUGUAGUGUCAGCGUGAUCAUUUGUUGUGUCUUUAGUGUCAGCGUGAUCAUUCGUUGUGUCUGUAGUGUCAGCGUGAUCAUUCGUUGUGUCUGUAGUGUCAGCGUGAUCAUUCAUUGUGUCUGUAGUGUCAGCGUCAUCAUUGUGUCUGUAGUGUCAGCGUGAUCAUUUGUUGUGUCUUUAGUGUCAGCGUGAUCAUUCAUUGUGUCUGUAGUGUCAGUGUGAUCAUUCGUUGUGAUCUACAUGCUCAUAUCCCUUUUGUCCACAAAGGAAAUAAUUCGCCUUUAAAUAUUAACAUCAUUUCCCCUAUGCAAUUUUAAGUUUUGAUAAUGAAAUAAAACACAAUGCAGAAUGAUUUUGCUAUAGGUUAGAUGACCACUGUACUUGAUAAUUGAAAAAUGGUUUAUGUUCUUAGACAAGCCAAUGAAGCAAUCUCCUGCUCUUGGAACAAACAAAAACCACAUGAUUAACCUCUCACAAGAUUGACGUGCACUGUGGUGUAGAAAGUUUGUUUGCCUUUCCAUAACCCAGUGUAUCUAAGAAUUACCUCGGAACUUCCAUUUCUAUUAAUAUUACCUACUAACACUUAAGUCUGAGUGUGGUGGCUCAUGCCUGUAAUCCCAGCACUUUGGGUAAGGCCGAGGUGGUCGGAUCACUUGAGGUCAGGAGUUGAAGACCAGCCUGGCCAACAUGGUGAAACCCCAUCUCUACUAAAAAUACAAAAAUGAGCCAGGUGUGGUGGCGCAUGCCUGUAAUCCCAGCUGCUCUGGAGCCUGAGGCAGGAGAAUCACUUGAACCCGGAGCAUAGGCUGCAGUGAGCCGAGAUUGUGCCACUGCAUUCCAGCCUGGGUGACAGAGUGAGACUCUGUCUCAAAAAAAAAAAAAAAAAAAAAAUCGGGACAUGAAACCAUAAGCUGAAAUGCUGCCAAGACCUAAAGGAAUGACCCUCAAACUGGAAUUUCAGCAUUUUGUCAUGUGAUUAAUCCCCGGGAGAAUGCAGUCAGCUCACAUGAUGAUAGGCAAGUAACCACCUUUUUCUGUACUCGUACUACUGUUACUUUUCUACAAAAUGAAAAACCUAAAUGUUUUUUUGUUUUGUUUUGUUUUUUGGGUUUUUUUUGUUGUUGUUGUUGUUUUUGAGACGGAGUUUUGCUCUUGUUGCCCAGGCUGGAGUGCAAUGGUCCGAUCUUGACUCACUGCAACCUCUGCCUCCCAGGUUCAAGCGAUUCUCCUGCCUCAGCCUCCUGAGUAGCUGGGAUUACAGGCACGCAUCACCACGCCUGCCUAAUUUUUUUUAUACUUUUAGUAGAGACAGGGUUUCUCCAUGUUGGUCAGGCUGGUCUCGAACUCUCGACCUCAGGUGAUCCACCUGCCUCGGCCUCCCAAAGUGUUGGGAUUACAGGUGUGCGCCCCCACGCCUGGCCUAAAUGUUUUUAAACUCUCAUCCUGAUCAGUAUUUAGGUUAUAGAUAAUUUUUUAAAACUCUACUUAGAAUAUUGUUUCAGAGGAGUCUGUAAAUAACAAAACUCUAUAAUUGCAGUCAUAGCUGAUGUAUCUAUACUUGGAUCUUUUCCAAAUGCUCUUCUACUCUUGUAAUUUCUAGUCUGGUCAGCUGGAAAUAAAAGUAUCCAGUAACUCCACUUGUCCAUCUAAAAAUAUAAUUAUUUUUUUAACUAACCCAUUAAGUAUUUUUUAUAUGUAUUUAUUAGCCAAUCAUGUUAUUUACUGUGACUUUCCUGUUUGUUUCUUUUGCUCAUUUUCUCAACCUGCUGAUUUAUGAAUACACACACAUACUCUAGAUCUUGAUUCUUCUGUUAUUUUAUAUAUAAUAUCCUUUUCCUGGAGAGUAGCUGUUUAAAGUGCAUUCAUGAUUUUUCUGAUACUGAUAGUUUUCCCACAUACUAUCAUAUUAUAUUUGGAUGUUGCCAUUAUCACUCUAACCAUAAACUGGUAAUCUAUUUAUAUUUUUAAUAGUAUGUGAGAUUUCUGUGUAUUCAGUCAGAUUAUCUAUGAAUGGAAAUGAAUUUUCUUUUAAAAUCAUUAUUAUUUCUUUACUUUUAUUAAAAUAAAUACGAUUAUGUCAAGUAUUGGGGUAAUAGCCAGUGUCUUAGUUGUUUAAACAGUUUAAUGGAAAUCAGUACAAUAUUUUACCAUUCAACUAAUAUUUACUUUGUUGUAUGCAAGUAUGCUCUAUAAUUAGGGCUAACUUCUUAUAUUUUUUCAAAUCCUAUCACUUCUUUUGCUUUGUUCAUAUAUCAUUCUCCUCUGCUAUUUUAAUGUUAUAAUUCAUUCUGAUUUCUUGUUUUAAACCAUUUCUGAAAUAUAAUAUGCUUAGCUGUGG
rnacentral:lncRNA from 1 species